rnacentral:lncRNA from 1 species
UUAACUUUAAAUAAUUGGUUUGAUUGAUUUCCCCUCUGCCACCUUGAGUUGAUUAUAUUAAUUUUAGAUAAUAUCAUUCCCAAACUUUAAUCCAAGGACAAUUGUAGGAUUGGCUGCAUAAGAAUCACCUUGGGAGCUUUACAAUAAAUACACACUCUUGGUACCUAUUUCCAGUCCUUCAGAUUCAGAAGGCCCUGGCGCAGGAAUCUUUAACAAAGGUCAAUUUACACUAAUGGCGACAGUCUUAAAUUUGCCACAUCUAACCCCAAACUGGCCACUCAGAUGAUAGAUUUCUAUAGUUUCCUUUGGAUGUCUUGCUCUGAUCACCUUGGUGAUUUUUCAGUCAGAUUACUUUAUCCAUCCUUAUAAUUUAGCAUGUAUAACACUGGAACAAUUUCAGAGCACUGGCUUCUAAGUCCAUGGGGCAAGUGGGAU